UUCUAUUCCAUGUGCUGUUCUGCCAAGUGUUUUGUUUAUUUGGGUCGCUCCCUUCUGAAAUUAGGAUAUCCGUUCCUGCUGCUGACUUUACAAAUUUAAUACUAAUCACCGUGGAAAGUUGAGCCACUAGGCAUUGAUCUUUGGCAGCUGGGAAAAUAAUUCCAAGGAAUUCAAUUUCAAAAGGUCUCCUUCAAUGACAAUUGAAUAACGCCCCAAUUAUUGUCACAUUUCACAUGCGACCAAUUCAACAUUCAUUGUGAAUUCAUCCAUCAACGCCCACGUUGAAACAAAAUCACUCAUAACUCUCGAUGCCAUCGUCAUCAUCAUCGUCAUCAUCAUCAUUAAAUAACAACGAAAUUCAUAACAAGUUAGUUGGCCAUGGCGACUGCAUUGCUACAGACAUCAUUAUUAAUAAAUUGCCAAACGAGAAGGCAUAACAAGCUCAAAUGCUGAAACAAUGUGCAUACAUCUCAACAGAAGUUUAAUUUAAUUGAAAAACAGGCAAAAAACAAAAGUUAAGGACGAAAACAAAUGUUAGGGACUAAAAAAACAAAAACGAAAAAUUAAAAAAAAACCCUGCUGUAGCUUUUUAUACUUGAGAAUAAGACAAUUAAAACAGCCGAUGUAAUUAACGGCGAAAAGGCAAAAAGGGAACCAACGAAACGCAACAUUGUGUUGACAGGAAGGCGACAUUAAAGGACUUUCCAAAGGAUUUUAGUCGCAAGGCAAUAGCUGAGACAUUGAUGAACAAAACUUUUGUAUUCUCAAAACAAUAGGAAAAUAUAGGCCUACCUUUAGCUAAGCCCUCCAUAUAAAAGGAUAAAACACAAAGAAGGCAACUCUGCACCACCCAUCAUUUGUCAAUAUUUAUGUCAAUUCGUUGCAAUAACAAAGGCGUUAAUCGUCCUCAUCAUUGCUAAGGCUUAGCAUAGGCCCAUAAUCAAAAUUCGUGUUUUUCUUUCGCAAUUCAAGCAGUCAUUUGAAAAACCACCGGAAAUAAAUGCCAACAUGAGCUUUUUAAGUUCCAUGCAACAGUAUGUCACCAGCGGCAUCAGUAGUCUUGGUCUUGGCAAUCGUCGCUUUUCCCUUUCGAAACAGGAUGCCAAUGAAAAUCAAUCGCAUGGUGGACAAACACAAAAUCAAACUGGCCUGGGAGCGCCUUUACCCACGCCCAAUUUGCAACAGACCAUGGGAUCGGGCAGUACAGCGAGCAACAUAUUCAAUGUUGUUGCGCCAACAGUGAGCUCUGUGCCCGGUCAGGGCAGUAUGGGCAAUUAUCCCAGCGGCGGUGUGGUGAUUGGUAAUCCGAAUGCAACAAAUCCAUUGCUGGGCUAUCCCAAAGUAGUUCCCACACCUGGUGUUACGGCUGCCAUGAGCACCAGCACAACAUCUGCCGUUGGUACUUCAUCAGCCUCCAGCACCCCCGUUAGUUCGCGACGUCAAUCACGUGCAUUGGAAUGCAUGGCACCGCCUCGUACUGGAUCAUUUCGUCAUCGCAAUGCACCAUUGCAUCAACCAGAACCAUCACCCAGGACGCCUUUGGCAUUUUGUAAAAGACGGCUCUCGUGGCCCGAAGUAGAUCCACGCUCAAACUCGGGUGUCCAAGAAACCGAUGGCUCAUAUUUUGAAAAUUUCACCUCACUCGGUUGGAAACGUGAAAAUCGUCGCAUGUCAGCAACACGUGCGGCAGAGGCACGAGCCGAAGCACACCAUGACCAAGAACGUGAGACCCCGAAAAUAUCAGAGGACUCCAUAGAGAAUCAAGAGAAAAAGGAGAAACUCUAUCUGGAGGUAUUGAACACAAUAGCAAAUACCGUGGGAGCACCAGCCACCGGUGGACAGUUUACCCACUACAAGGAAGAGAUGUAUCUGCAUGCCCAACGGGCAUUUGGCAUGAGUCCAGAUCGCCAUUAUCGCCUGCUACAUGCAACAGCUGAGGAUAAACCAAAAGUGAUUGUCCUGUCUGUGGUGGUUCUAGAGGCCGAAGGUCUUGAAGCCAAAGAUGCCAAUGGUUUUUCGGAUCCCUAUUGCAUGCUGGGAAUACAGCCAGAUGGUGGCCCACCCGUAUCACCUCUGCCACUGCCACCAACACCACGAGCACUUUCAGCGGAUAUGAACGCAUUCGAUAACAACGCCAGCGAUUCGCCGCCACAUCGAAAGCAUAGCUUUCGUUUGAGUUUCAAGCGACGCGAGGGCAAUCGUAGGGAGCAGCGGGAUUCAUUGGGUGGUCCGGUACCAGCAAAAUUCAUAUGUGCCACAUCAAUCAAACCGCACACGCUGACGCCCAAAUGGAAUGAGAAAUUCAAAUUUGACAUUGAUGAUAUGAACACAGACACUUUCCAUUUGGACAUCUGGGACCAUGAUGACGAGAGCUGUGUCUUGGAUGCUGUGUCACGUCUGAAUGAGGUACGCGGCGUCAGAGGUUUGGGGCGUUUUUUCAAGCAGGUCUGCCAAUCGGCACGCCAGGGCUCACAGGAUGAUUUUCUGGGCUGCGUUAAUAUACCCAUAGCCGAUAUACCCAGCACCGGCAUGGAGGGCUGGUUUAAAUUGGAGGCACGUAGCCAUCGUAGCACAGUACAGGGACGCAUACGCUUAAAAUUAUGGCUAUCAACACGUGAUGGCCAAUCUGGUGAUGGCUCACAGGCCGAUAGGGAUCAUACCAUGGAUGUUAACAACAUUGAAGAGCUGCAAACGGUUUUCAUGCAACACGAAGUGGCCACACAUGAGCCCUCAUGGACAUGGAAUGGUGAGUUGCCGGGACCAGCGUUAACCAUGCUGCAUCAAAUGGCGGUGCAGGCCGAUUUGGCGGAAUUGCAUUGUGCGGCUGCUAGAUUUGUGGCGGCGGCCAAACUCAAUCGCUCCACUCCAUUGGAUCCCAAGUUCAUACAUCGCCUGCUCACCGAGGUGGAAAAACAAUGGAGCACCGCCAGUCAGGAUCAUUUGACGCGCGAGUUCGAACAAUGGCUGGCAGAGGCCAUGAAUGGUUUCGUUGAGCGUUCCCUGCAUCAGAUACGUCAACAUCGCAAAGUAUUUCCCGCUCUCAAUCCGCCAUCACUCAUACGUCUGGAGUUCUUGCUGCGUUGUCUGGGACUUUUGGGCUCUAUGCGAGCCUUUCGCGUGGUGUGUCCCUUCAAUAAAGGAGUGCGUGGCGAGGUGGUGAAUGCCUUGCGCAAAGGUUCCAUAACCUGGGGCCAGAGCAUACUGAAGGAGUCACAGAAUCAACCAAAUCCCAUGGCACAUUUUGUCACCACACUAACGGCUGACAUACAAAUUGGACAAUCCUAUUAUCAUUCGUUGUUUGACAACACCAGUGGUAUACAAUACUUUAGCAUAGUUUACAAACAAUUUGAUGCCUUAAUCGGCGAAGAGGUCUAUCAUCGCAUGGAGGCGGGUCAAGUGCCCGGCAUACAUCCCAAUCUCGCCCAUUACACUGUGCUCGAAGGUGAUACAGAGUCAAUUGAUAUCAAACCCUUUGAACUGUUUCUGGCCCUGCAGGAGUUCUGUCAAUUAAAACGUUUCCUAUCGGUGCAGCCGCAACCGCCUGAGAAACCCCUGGCCCUGGCACAAUGUCACGAAUGGUUUAUACCCACCUUUGAGCGUUGGAUGAUGGUGAGUAAGGCCAAGGCCUUGCAACGUAUACGAGCGGCCAUACGACUCGAUUCCAUCUGUGAAGGAGAACGUGUGGUGCGCUAUAGCUCCUCUUCGGUGGACACGGCUUCCACCUUGGUAAACAUUAAGGAAUUUUGGAAAACCAUGUGCUGGCCCGAUGACGAUUCGGGUAUAAUGCUGGAGGCUCAACUCAUCGAUGUGGUAUGUUCAACGGCCAUGCAUUACUGCGAUUUGAUACACACCGCCCUGGCCGAUAGUGGCUAUUAUGAGGUGCAAGGACCCUUUCGCUGUUCCGAUGAUAUGUGUGUAACAGUGAACAAUUUGGAAUAUGUUCGCUUUACUUUAUCCGAUUUUCGCUCGGAGGAUAAUCCCAUGGACGAGGGUGCUGAUAAUUUGCUGGAGACCAGCUUGGCUCACAUGGAGAGCAGAUGUGAGAGAAUACUCUCAAAACUGGCCCCGCUCAUGCAAAUGUCCUUGCAGAAGGCAGUUUUCCAUUUGGCUUGGUCGCCUGACUCGCUGCCAGCUAAUCAGGCCAUAGUGCCGCUGCUGGAAUACAUGGACUCCCAUUUGGGUGCUCUGAAUAGUGCUUUAUUACCCAAGAAUUUCAAUCGCGCUUUGCGUUUUGUAUGGAAAACCGUACUGGGAGAGAUGUCACGACAAAUGGAGACUGGCGAUGAUUCGGAGAAGCCCUCCAACUUUCACAAACGCCUGUAUGAGGCUUUGCAACUCUUGGUGGACUUCUUUCAUGCCGAGGGACAGGGUUUGGCCUUGGAGUAUUUGCACUCUGAAGACUUUUGGCACAUUGAGCAACGUUUGCAAUUUCACAAGACAGAAACGUGGCGUCUCAUCGAUAUGUAUCACAUCAGUCGUUUGCGGGAACAAUACAUGGCCACCUUGCCCAGUCCCUAUGGAUCUUUGGCGGUGCGGGCCUAUCUCAAUCAUGAUUCAUUGUGUGUAGAGGUUUUGCAUGGCCGCGAUAUAGUGCCAUUGGAUCCAAAUGGUUUCAGUGAUCCAUUUGUAAUCAUAGAACUGUUGCCGAGGCGCAUCUUUGGCCAUUGCAUGGAGCAGCAAACCAAUGUACAUAAGAAAACCCUUAAUCCCAUUUUUGAUGAAUGUUUUGAAUUUUCGGUGACAUUGGAACAAUGUCUCGUCGAGGGUGCUAUGAUCUGUUUCACAGUCAUGGAUCAUGAUGUGAUCACAGCCAAUGACUUUGGUGGUGAGGCAUUUUUGGCUUUGGGCAAUAUACCCGGCGUAGCCGACUAUGGUACCAGCGUGGAAAAUUUCCAUGGUCUGAAACAAAUCGAGUUGCCGCUCAUACAGCAAACUGACAAAGCUAAUCCCAUUCUGCAAAUUUUGGAAUUACGUGUAAAUGAUAAACAAGCGCAGGAUUUCGUGCGAAAACAAAAGGACAGAAUAAUACAAUAAAUGAACAACUUAAAUCCCCCCCAAACACAAAGGACGAAGACAUAAACAAAAACACUACCCAAGGUUUAUGAAACGAAGCAACAAUCAAAUUGUCUGUAAAUAAAUUCAACAAUUCUUUUGAGAGUUUAUAAAAAAGGUAUUUAAUCAUCAUAAAAUGACCAUUAAUAUGCUAAUCAUUGGUUUGGCUUUGUCCAAACUUUGAUAUCAACUGUUAAUCAUCAUUUCCGAUGCCUUUCACACAAAUGCGUCUCACACAUAAAAUGCAUAUGGGGAAAAAAAAACAAUAAUUUUAUAACGC